UACGGAGGAUGCGAGCGUUAUCCGGAUUUAUUGGGUUUAAAGGGUGCGUAGGCGGGCUUUUAAGUCAGCGGUGAAAAUUCGGGGCUCAACCCCGUCCGGCCGUUGAAACUGGGGGCCUUGAGUGGGCGAGAAGAAGGCGGAAUGCGUGGUGUAGCGGUGAAAUGCAUAGAUAUCACGCAGAACCCCGAUUGCAAAGGCAGCCUUCCGGCGCCCUACUGACGCUGAGGCACGAAAGUGCGGGGAUCGAACAGG
rnacentral:rRNA from 1 species